AGCUUGAAGAGAUGAAGGUGAAGAAGAAGCUGGUCCAAUUCUCAUCCGUAUUGGGCUUUCUCUAUUAUCCUCCUUCCUCUUUACAAAACUCUUCAUCGCUGAUUCCGCCACGGCCACCGCCACCAGCGAGGCCAGUAACAGCCGAGUCUGCAACUGUUUUCGUUUUCCUUUAAAUAUCACUCAAAUUGAUACUUCUUCUCCUUCUAAUAUCUCUUGUAUACGAACGAAUCAAUCGUCAAUUGCGCGAAAAUGGCGAGUUAUUUAUGGAGGAAGUACGCCGAUUAUGUCUACACCAAAUGGGAAAGAACGAUUCUCUGGGAUAUGGUUGAUCCCUAUAGGCGACCCAAAUCCUUUACGCCUUUGGUUUCCAUUUAUAUUGCUGCUUUUUACACUGGGGUCGUCGGCGCUGCCAUUACCGAGCAACUCUACAAGGAAAAGUAUUGGGAAGAUCACCCUGGGGAAGCUGUUCCUUUAAUGAAACCAAAGUUUUAUUAUGGACCCUGGAGGGUAAUGAGAGGAGAAGUCCCUGCACAUACCAAGUGAAAGCUUUAGCACUCGCCAUUCUCGUCCAUGCUGAUAUUGGAAACAUGUUGUAGAAAGUUCAUGAUCGAGUAAAUUUUCUGUUUGCUCAAGAAACUGAACAAAGUAUUUAGGCUCUGCCAAAAAUGGUUCUCUUCAACCUCCCUCUUCCUUAAAUGGCAACCGCUCAAUGCCUUUUCAUUCCCCUCCCUCUCUCUCCCCAACCCUCCUCUGCCCUCUCUUCCUCUUCCCC